rnacentral:lncRNA from 1 species
GUCGGCUUAUUAAAUGAUAAAAAUAUAUUUUUAAAUAAAUUAUAAAAUAUAUAAAUAUUAAUAUAAAAAUAAUAUUUAAUAUUUAAUUAUUUUUUAACAGUAAAAUUGGUAAUUAAAUAUAAUUUAAAUUGGGUUCGAGUAAAAACCUAUAAAAAAUCAAAUUAUAAUAGUCCGUAAAUUUAGUCACACCCUUCAUGAUAUUUCUAGCUUCGUUUAUGGCUAUAAGUUACAUUUGAGUUGUCACUUAACACUAAAAAUUUAAUGGCUAAACUAAUGAAAGGACAUGAUUGAUACGUUACUUGUUAUACUCCUAGGUAUUACUUGCAUCACAAUGAAAGAGCCUACGUUGUUAUUGACAUUUAGUAGGCAACGCAAUGAUACCAUUGUCGCAAAUCUACCAUGGACACGAUUUGAGUUGUCACUUAACACUAAAAAAAAUUAUGGCUAAACUAAUGAAAGGACAUAAUUGAUACAAUACUUACGAUACUUGUUAUACCUUUAGGCAUUACUUGCACCACAAAGAAAGAGCCUACGUUGUUGUUGACAUUUAGUAGGCAACGCCACGAUGCAAUGCCAUGACACCAUUGUCGCAAAUCCACCAAGGACAAUAGUUACAAUGAGAUCAAUCUCACUUAAUGAUCCAAACUCUCCAAAUUCACUAACCUCCUAAAUCGAGCCUAUGAUUCGACCCUACAAGGAAGCUAGCAUGAGAUGGGGUUAGUUUCAGACAAUUCUUCAUCUAUAAAUACA